AUGGUACAUGUUUGCAUCGCAGCUUUUGCGUGGAGCUGUCUCUGCUUCCAACCUGCUCUGGGUGGAUUACCUGCUUCAGGGCCAGCCUUGGGCAAAGCUGUCAAGGGGAAAAUAAUGAUCUUUGGCACCUCCCAGCUCUCUUGGAAGUUACCAGAUCGCAGAGGGCAAGCCCCCGAGGGAAAGGGGUGGGACACAGGACAACGGAGUCCAUUUGAAGAUGCUCUCCUUCUCCCAUGGGAAACCUCUGAGAUGCUCCAGAGAAAACAGGACACAAGGGUACCUGAGCUGGAAGCCGAGGACGGAGGUUGUCGUGGUCUUCCAAAGAAGGUUCUGAAAGAAGAAGAUUGGACUGCAUGGGAAUCCAGGGAUUUAUGCGACUCGAUCCUGCAUUUGUAAAAACAGUGUUAUUAUUCCUAGCCAUCUGACAGGGUCAUCAUGCAAGUCCCAGAAGUACUGUCUGUGGAAGUGAUUUGAAAAUGGCAAAGGGCUAAGAGGUGUCUCUUUUGGAGAAGCAGCCUGUGGCUGGGAGGUCACUGGGAUUGGACUUUAACAGUUGGGGAAGCCAUGUGCGUGCCUCCUCAGAGCCUCGGUUUUAUCACCUGGGAAGUGGAAACGAUAAUACCCACCUCUUAGGCUUUGAAAGUGGGAAUUAGACAUAAUGUGCAUAAAAUUAUUGCAUAAGCAAUAAGAUGCUGUGUGCUCUCAUUCAUAAAUACUUUCAACACUGACGUGCAUAAGGUGGGCAGCAGGGAGCUGAGGAUGCAAGUUGUCCGAGGAGCUAUUCUGACCUUGACGGCCCCUCCAAGCAGCUCUGGCCUUGGAACCUGGAGGCCUCCUGCUAUGCCAUUGGAGGAAUUUCCAGGAGGUGGGAGAAAGUUCCAAGGAAGGAUGGAAAGAGCAGCUGGGUAAGGAAUGGAGGGCGGGAGUGGGGGCCCUGGAGAGUGGGAAGCUUCAACUUUAUUGGUGGACAAGGGUGUUCAAGGCAGAUAGACGCACAGGAAUGGGGCUGAAAGAAAGCAUGAUGCCCAAUUUGGACAAAGGAGGGAUAUGCAAUUGCAAGACCUUGGAUGGGGAGAAUGGCGAGCAAAAUACAAGGUGUGCUGGGAUUUUUAUAGACCUUGCCACUGUGCUCGCAUUUAUAAGAUUUGUGCUGUUUUCUCUCUGUGGGGUUAAGGCUGGAAGGAAACUGGAGUGCUUCAAAGCUCCCCAUCCAGGUUCAUGCAGGCCCUCUGAAAUGCAGCCCAUCGCCCGCAUCAUCUUGGCGCCCUGAGCUGGGAGGUGGGGAGCAGACAUUGACACGAUUCUCUCAGAAGUGACUUUCUUGUGAUUUGUUCCGCCAUUCCUUCCCUCAGCCAAACCAGAAAAACCACUGAACCUGGGUAUUUGGCGUGGGUUAGGGAUUUCUGGAUCUCGUAAGGGCAAAUGACUAUACAACAAAAACGGUUCCCUUAAAAGUUCACACUCAGUCCUUGGAGUGGGAUGUGCGUGUGUGUGUGUGUGUGUGUGUGUGUGUGUAGGACAGGAGAGGGUCCAACAGACUCUCACUUUUUUCCAAAUAAACGCCCCCAACUUCUAAUUAAGAGCA
rnacentral:lncRNA from 1 species